GGAGUCGGCCAGACAGUCGCGUCACUCGCAAGAGUGCCGAGGAAAGUCCGGGCUCCAUAGGGCAAGGUGCCAGGUAACGCCUGGGCGGCGCAAGCCGACGGAAAGUGCAACAGAAAGAUACCGCCUACGUCCCUCGUCACCCCUCUGCCGCCACUGAAGCAUGUCGGCGAUGCGCAGCAUCGCCAAGUGCGUUCGGAGGCUGCAGAGGGGUGGCGAGGGGCCGGUAAGGGUGAAAUGGUGCGGUAAGAGCGCACCGCGAGUCCGGUAACGGACCGGCACGGCAAACCCCACCUGGAGCAAGACCAAAUAGGGAUCCAUUGGCGUGGCCCGCGCUGGAUCCGGGUAGGUUGCUUGAGCGCUGCGGUGACGUAGCGCCUAGACGAAUGACUGUCCACGACAGAACCCGGCUUAUCGGCCGGCUCCGCCG
rnacentral:RNase_P_RNA from 1 species